rnacentral:misc_RNA from 1 species
GAUGAAGAACGUAGCGAAAUGCGAUACGUAAUGUGAAUUGCAGAAUUCAGUGAAUCAUCGAGUCUUUGAACGCACAUUGCGCCCCCUGGUAUUCCGGGGGGCAUGCCUGUCCGAGCGUCAUUGCUGCCCUCAAGCACGGCUUGUGUGUUGGGCCUCCGUCCUCCUCCCGGGGGACGGGCCCGAAAGGCAGCGGCGGCACCGCGUCCGGUCCUCGAGCGUAUGGGGCUUCGUCUCCCGCUCUUGUAGGCCCGGCCGGCGCUUGCCGACACAUCAAUCUUUUUUCCAGGUUGACCUCGGAUCAGGUAGGGAUACCCGCUGAACUUAAGCAUAUCAAUAAGCGGAGGA